rnacentral:lncRNA from 10 species
CAUCAUUUGUAUGCAGCUAAGCAUUAUGUCAGGCCUCAAGGAUACAAAGAUCAAUGCAGUGUGAUUCCUGCCUUCAAGGGACCUAUCACUGUCUUGGAGAAGUAACGGUGAAAAUUAUAGUCAACAAACUACAUGACUGCUUUCCCUACUUCUGCCCUGUGGCCUUAGGACACUUAGUCAGGCAUAUCCACAGCUCUUCAAAUAAGCAAUGUGAUGUUAGCAAAAGUGCAGGGGCUCCUUGAGAACUUUCCAGGGCUAACCAGCUGCUGAGGAGUGGCCUCCAGGAAAGAGAGAAGCACUCUGAUUCAGGCAGUGAUUUACACCUAAAAUACCAACUCCAUCAUAUCUUCAGAACAAUUCUUCUAGACCUUGCAUCUAAAUAUGGAGUCAUUAACUAACAACGAACAAAACCUCUGGAUGGCCGAAGGACCUAGGCUAUACAGAAAGCUGUGAAUUACCAAUGAGAACGCAGCACUGCUGCUGUACUGAGAAUACAGCUGUGAACAACAUCCCUGUCGCUUUCGUUCUAGAGAGGAAAAACAGGAUCUCUAAUGCCUGUCAUCUGCGCCAUGGGCUUUAGUUCAAGUGAGUCUUCCUCCUACCUUCCGUGAAAUCACUUCCUGGCUGGGACCACUGACCACGUGGAGUUUGCACAUUCUGCCCAUGUCUGCACGGGUUUUCCCUGGGUACUCCAGUUUCCUCUCACCUCCCAGAGAGCCGCGCAUUAGAUGUGCUUCAGACCAGACAUAGUCCUUUUAAUGAUCAACUUCAUCAUUUCAAACACGUCUUCUGGCCAGGCGCGGUGGCUCACGCCUGUAAUCCCAGCACUUUGGGAGGCCAAGGCGGGCAGAUCACCUGAGGUCAGGAGUUCGAGACCAUCCUGGCCAACAUGGUGAAACCCCAACUCCACUAAAAAUACAAAAAUUAACUGGGUGUGGCAGUGUGUGCCUGUAAUCCCAGCUACUCGGGGAGGCUGAGACAGGAGAAUCGCCUGAACCUGGGAGGCAAGGUCACCAUGAGCCAAGAUCGUGCCUCUGCACUCCAGCCUGGGCAACAGAGCUAGAC